GUGUCAUUAGAAAACAAGGGGAAAUAUUCCUUCAUAAUCGCUCGUACCAAAGGUUUUCUUUCCUGAGGAAAUGCCGAUGUCGUUCAAUAUUUCAUUUCAUUUUAUGGUUGUGUGUGAGUAUCACGAAAAUCAUGUUGACUUUUCAGCUCUACUAUUUAUGGAUUACAUAUUUCUAUGUAACUUUCUUCAAUGGAUUACUAGGGUCUUCGCCAUCAUUUGUGUGUAAAGAAGCUCAGCAGUCGUCUACCAACGGAUCUUUCAAUGCCAAUUUUGGAUGCGAUGAAGACAUUAACACCUUCUCUCUGACCAAUGAUGGGGUUAACCAGUCGUGGUCUGUUGAACUGGAAAACACUAACAUCAUUAAAUAUUUCUUUGUCAUCGUUGGUACUGGUAAUAAAGAUUCCAUACUUU